CUACAGUGUAGAGUGCACUGAAAUCACCGAAGCGUGCAACUAGAAUGGAUGGUGGCAAUUAUCUGGGCC